AGAGUUUGAUUCUGGCUCAGGACGAACGCUGGCGGCGUGCCUAACACAUGCAAGUCGAGCGAUGAAGUUCUUCGGAACGGAUUAGCGGCGGACGGGUGAGUAACACGUGGGUAACCUGCCUUGUAGAGGGGGAUAGCCUUCCGAAAGGAAGAUUAAUACCGCAUAACAUCUUUUUAUCGCAUGGUAGAAAGAUCAAAGGAGUAAUCCGCUACAAGAUGGACCCGCGGCGCAUUAGCUAGUUGGUGAGGUAACGGCUCACCAAGGCGACGAUGCGUAGCCGACCUGAGAGGGUGAUCGGCCACAUUGGAACUGAGACACGGUCCAGACUCCUACGGGAGGCAGCAGUGGGGAAUAUUGCGCAAUGGGGGGAAACCCUGACGCAGCAACGCCGCGUGAAUGAAGAAGGCCUUAGGGUUGUAAAGUUCUGUUUACGGGGACGAUAAUGACGGUACCCGUGGAGGAAGCCACGGCUAACUACGUGCCAGCCGCCGC
rnacentral:rRNA from 1 species